rnacentral:rRNA from 1 species
GACGAACGCUGGCGGCGUGCUUAACACAUGCAAGUCGAACGAAGUGGCGAACGGGUGAGUAAUGCGUAAUCAACCUGCCCUUCAGCGGGGGACAACAGUUGGAAACGACUGCUAAUACCGCAUACUGAAGGAGGGGAUUGCGUCGGAUUAGCUCGUUGGAGGGGUAACGGCCCACCAAGGGGAUGAUCAGUAGCCGGGCUGAGAAGAUGAACGGCCACAUUGGGACUGGGGAACGGCCCAGACUCCUACGGGAGGCAGCAGUGGGGAAUCUUCCGCAAUGGACGAAAGUCUGACGGAGCAACGGCGCGUGGGUGAUAGCGGCCUUCGGGUUGUAAAGCUCUGUUAAUCGGGACGCGGUACCGGAAUAGAAAGCCACGGCUAACUACGUGCCAGCAGCCGCGGUAAUAC